rnacentral:rRNA from 1 species
UCCCUAAAUAGGGACUAGUAUGAACGGCUAAAUGAGGACUUUACUGUCUCUUGCCGCCAGUCAAUGAAACUGAUCUUCCAGUUCAAAAGCUGGAAUAACAUCAUAAGACAAAAAGACCCUGUGGAGCUUUUAAACCAAAACCACCAAAAAUUGUCCACUUGGUUUUUAGUUGGGGCGACUUCGGGGUAAAACCAAACCCCCGAAACAAUGGAACCUACCAUAUUAAGGCCAACACGCCAAAAUAAUUUAAAACUUGACCCAGAUCUUCUAAUUUAUCUGACCAAUGAACCAAGUUACCCCAGGGAUAACAGCGCCAUCUUCUUUUAGAGUCCAUAUCGACAAGAAGGUUUACGACCUCGAUGUUGGAUCAGGACACCCCAAUAGUGCAGCCGCUAUUAACGGUUCG